rnacentral:lncRNA from 1 species
GUUAGCCUCACUCCGUUGUCGAAGUUCCCGAUAGGGUUCGGCCCUUUAGCAAAUGGGCAAGUUUGAGCUAAUCUAGACAGGCAUAUCGAUUCAACAACAAAGAAGGCCUAAAGAAGAAGUGGUGUUAGUGUCUACACUAGACCAGAGUUGGGCGGAGCGCACUCUGAGCGAGAGCGAAAAAAGAGCUCGCUCGCGUUUUUCACUGGGCGACGAGCGAGAGCCGCUCAAUUAGAAAAAAAAUGCGAGCUUGAGCUUGAGCGAAGACCUACUGAGCGAUAGUGUUGGGGAUACAUCGAAAUUCUAUAGAUACUAGAUAUAUCGUAUCGGAGUAUUGGCGUAUCGUCGAUGUAUCGGUGUAUCGGUAUCGUAGAUGGUUUGAAUGGUUCGUUUGGAUUGUUCUUAUUGCAAUACCCGUUUAGCUCAAUGGUACGGUCUAGCGCUUCUGACCUCUGUAAAUCUGUCAUUCUUAGUCAAGUGUUCUAGUCUCGCAGUAGAAUGUAUACAAAUACUAAAUUUUCUUUUGAUAAAGUAAUUGAAUUUUUCCAUAAAGUUUCUCUUCACAGAGACACCAAUCUUUCGAUCUAAUUAUUUCUUAAAUAUCGGUAUAGAUAAUUUUCUUCGCUUUUAUAUUCUAUAACCAGGUAUAACACAGUCGAUGUCGGUGGUUGGUAUAAUCUGUGACUGCGAAUUGUUACGUUGAAAGUAGUAGGUUCUAUUCACACGGAGUAAAUUUUACUUGGGCUUUUUUUUUGUGCUUUUUCUUUUUUUUGCGUGUAUUGGAAUGUAUCGAUAAACCUCAAUUCAUGUCUUUCGUAGUUUACCGCAAGGUUUUUUGUAGAGAAUGGCUCUGUGGUACAGUAGUGCCCAUUGAACUGAUAGUAUGAUGUUCGAUUCCAUUAACAUGCUUUUUUUGAGAUGUCAGUAGGAAACAUAAGAAAAAUCUUUUUUGAAAUGAAUAUUGCAAUUUAAAAAUAUAUUUCGAAUCAUCGGUAUUCUUCAUGAAAUUUUGAUCUGCCUUAUUGUAAAUUGGUUAACGUUAUCAUGGUUAGUUGGCAUAAUCUUGGGCUGUGGUUUCAUAUUUCCGUAGUUCAAAUCCGGGAAUGUACAUUUUGAUUGUUUUGCUUUCUAAAUUUUAUUUUGGUUUUCCGUAUUGGAAUUAUCGACAAACCUAAAAUCAUGUCUUUUUUAGUUUUUAAAAUUAAUUUUAGUAAAAAUGGCAUAUCUGUUUGUAAGCGGAGAGUGGAUUUGUGGUCCGGGGCUCAAUUCUUGAAGAGAAUACUAAUACUACUAAAUAUAUACUAAUAGACCAGUUUCGGAUGCUGCGUUGCAAAAUUUUUAAAAAUCGAGGGGGGUUUCGAUUGCAGGGGGAGAUAGGAAAAAAGGGGGUUUUGAUUUAUUUCCAGUAAUACUUAUCCAAAUCAGGAAAUGUUUUAGAAUACUACACUUUAAGACAUUCUUCGUCUUCUCCAGUCAUUUUAAAUAAUUAAUCAUCCCUAGUUUAUCCAUGAAAAUUAAUUCAAGUAAAGGCUAGGUAUGCUGUUUAGUAUUUUUGCGUUUUUAGUAGUGGUUAUCAUACCUGUCAAGUGUCAGUCCUGUCACAGGCUUAAUAUUACUCUGUGUUGCGAACUGUGAAUUUACUUGUGCCAAUUUUAGAAAUGGUUAAGAUAUGUGCUAUUGUGGGGUGCAUAAACAAAGCUGGAAGCAGAGUAUCUUUCUUUUGUAUUCCAAAAGUAAUACAGAAAGACACAGAAUCAGAACAACAAUUACAGAAGAAAAGACGUUCGUUGUGGAUCAAGCAACUAAAGAAUAGCAUUUCCAUAACUGAUCACAGUGAUACUAGGGUUUGUAAUGAACAUUUUAUUACUGGGACUCCUAACAA